UGAUAGGGCCAUACCACCUUUUCAAUGCCUGAUCUCUUCUGAUCUCAGCAGCUAAGUAAAGCUGGGGCUGUUUAAUAAUUGGAUGGGAGACCAAUGUAAUACCAAGUGCCACAGUAG
rnacentral:rRNA from 1 species